rnacentral:Y_RNA from 1 species
GGCUGGUUUGAAGAUAGUGAGUUAUCUCAAUUGAUUGCUCACAGUCAGUUUACAGAUCCAACUCCUCAUUCUACUCUUUCCUCCUUCUCACUUCUGCACUUGACUAGUCUUUU